CUCUCUCUCUGUUCUCUCACAAAUCCACCGCCACUCAUCGUCUCUCUCUGUUCUCUCACAAAUCCACCGCCCAAUUCAUCCCCUUUAGAUUCACCUACAUAUCGCCAUCUCUGCUACCGUUGCCAGCCGCCUCCGCCCCGCCGCAUUCUCUGCAGCAGUAGGCACCGGAUCUCGCCUUCUCCUCCAUCACCUCCAAGAUCUCCUCCAGUUCGCAACACCUCCUCCUCCGCAUCGAUGCCACCAUCUCCACCUAGUUUGAUUAACCUAAAAUACGUCGCCGCUCCAAUCACUGCCGUUCUCGCCUUCGUUCUAGAUCUCAGCGACUUUCCAGCCGAUCUCGCACAUGAUUUGCUGGCGCCACUUGUCGGCCUCUGCUAGGUCGCGGCACUCCGACGCCAGGUAGGGGCGGCGCUCCUUCGGCUUCUUCUUCUCCUCCUCUUUCAUGGUGAUGAAACGGUUCAUCGUCGAUUGCAGUUUUUCUUCGUUUCGAGUCAUUUCGGACAAAUUGGGGACGCAUUAGGAUUUUGAUUCGUCGACAGGAAGGAUGACGGGGCAGAGAAGGAAAUGAUUGAGAUGAGAUAGCAGUGCGUGAAGAAGGUGAUGGAUCUGAGCUGCUGUGGUCCAACCACCAUUAGAUUCUGAUCGGCGCAAAUGACUGGUUGGUGAUGGCGACGCCGCGAGGGUUUGCGAUUUUGGGGAGAGUUGCUUGUUUAUAGUACUGUAAUACUGUUAUGGAUUAGUUUUUGUGGAUUUUGGAUUGUGGAAUGUUGGAUUAAUUUUCUAUGGGUUUUGCGAUUUUGGAAUUCAAAGUCAAAUUGACUAAUUGGUAUGAUGGCUAAUUGGUAUGAUGGCCAACUCAAUGCCCAAUGAUUUG
rnacentral:lncRNA from 1 species